rnacentral:lncRNA from 1 species
AGCAUCCUCAACAGUCACUAUUGAAGAGGGAUCAUCCACACAUUUUUUUAGUAUAGACACAUGGAAAAUAGAUGAAUCAAGGAAAAACUCAUUGGCGAAUCCAAGUUAUAAGUGACAUUCAAAAUUCUCCUCAUAAUCUAAUAUGGACCAACGUAAUGGGGACUGAGCUUCCCCUUCUUCCUAGAUCUCUUGACUUCUUUCAAAGGAGAAACCUUCAAGAAUACCCAAUCACUAACCUCAAACUCCA